GACGAACGCUGGCGGCGUGCCUAACACAUGCAAGUCGAGCGGGGUUGAAGCGAGAGGUAACUCGAACUUCUACCUAGCGGCGGACGGGUGAGUAACGCGUGGGCAACCUGCCUCAAGGUCUGGGAUAACAGCCCGAAAGGGCUGCUAAUACCGGGUAUGCUUGUGGCCUCGCAUGGGGCUACGAGCAAAGGGGAAACCCGCCUUGAGAUGGGCCCGCGUCCCAUCAGCUAGUUGGUGAGGUAACAGCUCACCAAGGCGACGACGGGUAGCCGGCCUGAGAGGGUGACCGGCCACACUGGGACUGAGACACGGCCCAGACUCCUACGGGGGCAGCAGUGGGGAUCUUGCACAAUGGGCGAAAGCCUGAUGCAGCGACGCCGCGUGAGCGAAGAAGGCCUUGGGUUGUAAAGCUCUGUCUGGAGGGACGAAGGAAGUGACGGUACUCCGGAGGAAGCCACGGCUAACUACGUG
rnacentral:rRNA from 1 species